AUACAACCUGUGCCCCACGGAAGGUGACGAGCAAAUAACUUAAUGACCAUGUUGCUGUCAUUGGCAGUAAGGGGCUGACUUUCGGUUUGGGCUAGACAAUGGCCCCAACUUGGAAGCUGUCCCUUCUGGAGAUCAGAUCCCACCUCAAACUCUCAACUCAGUGGCAGCAGAAAGGAGUGGAGACACCUGCUUCUGACGGGGAAUUCUCUGUCUCAAUCUGAGUUACGAAGAAAUAAAAACCGUGUGACCAGAGCCUUACAUUUAUCUUGCAUUUUGCAGCUUGCAAAAGAUACUCAGUUCUACCACCACUCCAGUGUUGCAGGUGGGGCAAUUGGAACUCAGAGAGGGGACGUGACUUGCACAAGGACACACAGCCAGGAAAUAGCAGGGCCAGGAUUCUAAAAUUUUCCACAAAGCAAGUGAGGCAAAAAUAGUGUUUGUGCUCAAUCUUCUGGAGCCGAAGCUGACCCUUCCCUCUGGGUGGGGACACUUGAAUUGAAUACAAUCUUAGAGGGAGGGAAUGGGAUGGUCCCCCAUUCUAAUGGGAUGUCACGAUGAUGGGGAGAGACGUUUUCCUUUUUUCCUAGCUCGGAAUUUUAGAAGUCUGUUUUCUCGACCUCAUACUGUUCUUCUCUGCUCAGAUAUAGCCCGUCUCUCCAACCCAGCUCUGGCCAUCUGCCCCGUGUCUGAAGGGACUGCACGGUGCAAAGGCCGAAGGAAGAGAUCCAAGUUCCGUUCCUGCUGUCUGACCUCAGGCAAAUCACUAACUCUCUCUGGACCUCAGUUUGCUUAUCUGAAAAAGGGGUAGGUAAAGUCUAGAUGAGCUCUGGGAGCCCGCCCACGCUUCUAAAGCUUCCAGUCUGGCCCCCUGCCUGCAGCUCCGCCACAGAAGAACUGGGGCCCAGGGCAACGUCUGGCCCUAUCCUGGCACCUCGGUGCUUUGUCCUGCUGGGGACAUCUGCAAGUCUCCCCAGGCCUCCGUGGAUGGCCCCAGCUGCCCUCUCUGGUGAGCUCAGCACAGCAUUCGUGAGAACCGAUGGUGGAGAUCAAGACAGAUAUGCCGAAAUGAGGCUCUCUGUCUCUGUCUCUGUCUCUGUCUCUGUCUCUGCCCCACGCAGGCUUCCUCCCUCAAGGCAGCUGCAGACUGGCCUGGGGGAGGACUGGUUGCCAUUCCAGAAGGAGCAAAAACUCGGGGUGGAUGGGUUCCAUUAGCUCAUUCUUCUAAUUGUUCUAGCUGGUUAUUGUUUCUCCUGAUUUAUUUCCAAUUAGCGCUAGGGAGCUCAGCUUGGGGUUGAUUCUGCCAGUUUCCCGGAGCCAGUUCUCAGCUAUUUCUGGCUUGGCCAGACCCAAAGCCUUCCUGCUUCCAUGCUAGCUGCCAUUCGGGGAGGGCCUUCUGGGCACUUAGACCACGCUGCCUGCCACCCUCCCGACAGCACUUGUGAAGCUGGUCUCGUCAUCGCCAUUUCACAAAAGCGGAAACUGAGGCUCAGUGAGGCGAAGGGACUUGCCCAGGUUCCCGCUGGCGGUGAGCGGGCGGUGAAGGCGAAUGCUGUCUUACAGGCCGUCAAAGACAGGCGCGUUUCAGCAAAAUUGGUUGCCAUGGUCUGCUCUAUUGCGCCCGGCGCACUGCCUUGCCAUCGCAUUACUUGCACUACUUAGAAACAAUUAAUCCACAAAUAAACCCCAGGCCUCGUCUUCCAAUCGGAAACCCGGAUUCUGGGACUUUUCGGGCCGUUUCUGAGCUAGCCGGGAAAUCUCCUGGUCAUAUUAGGAAUAAGCGAAGCCAUUUGGGUUUUAAUAACAUGGUGAGAAAAUGGUGUGACUUUAAAGUCUUUAUUAGCCCUGGAAUGCAUUUUCCAAAGCAGGAAUUAGCUGACACAGGCAGAGUGUCAGCUGGAAAAACAAGGUCUGGGUUAGGUGGCCCAGAAAAAAACCUGCUUUGGUGCCCAGAGCCUCCCACUGAUUUCAAUUGCUGGUUAGCACAGGCCAGCAGAAUAAUUGUCCCAUCGGUGAACGUGCCAUUAGAAAUGACCCCACACAGCUAAUGGGGGUUUAAUACUGGCUUGCUUGGUCCUUGGUAUGGGUCCUGUUCUCAUUUUUAGUAAGAAAAUUACCUGUCUGUCAUUUCUUUUAAACUUGUACAGUAAUAAUUAGCCAGGCCCCAAAGAGAAGCUGGUUCCCCUUAACCUUGGCCGGAUGAAGGCUCAGUGACCCAUUAAAGUCUGUGAAGUCAUUUGACUCUGGCUGGCUAGGGAGGCAAUGUGGCAGAUAUUUGAUAGAAAAUGGUUAUAAUACCUCACAUUUGUUCCUCCUUUUACACUCUUCAGAGCUCAGGGUAACCUUGGGGUCAUAAGCAAGGAUUCUCACGAAGGGGUCGGCCAACCAUGGCCUGCCAGCCAAUCUGACCCACCUCAUACUUUUGCAAAUAAAGUGUUAUUGGAA